AGCCUGAUGUGGGGCUCAGCCUCACAACCUGAGAUCAUGACCUGAGCCGAAAUCAAGAGUUGGAUGCUCAAUCAAGUCACCCAGACGUUCCCACCUCCCACAAGCCAAGAACAACCACGCCUGCAUCGUGGGCCCACUCCUCUCUCCUAAUCUCCGGAACCCUCCAUCCACCUGCUCUCUGGACACAUCCCCCUGAGUGUCCCUCACAGCAGCUCACACUGAAGUAUGCAGCUUAGGACUUCCUGUCUUCUGUCCGACUGCAGGCAGAACAGAACCUUCCAGUCAGAGGGUGUCUCAAACCAAUACUCAGGCCAGUACUUCUCAAAGGCAAGGUGCUCCUGUUCUCCCUCCUGCUCAAGCUCUUAGGCCCAUACAAGAAGGCAGGGAAUGUGGACCAGGGAAAGCCACAUCCACUGUAAGCGAAGCCAGCUGCCUCACCUCCAGGUUGGUGGGGUACAGAAUGGGGGGCAGCCUCAGGACACUCUGGGACAAGUCACCAUCACGGCCACAUCCAGGGGUCAGAAGUCCUUUGGAAGCUAAGCUGAUGGACAGACAAAGAGAGAGAGAGGCAGAGACGCAGGCAGAGGGAGAAGCAGGCCCCACGCCAGGAG